rnacentral:piRNA from 1 species
GUCUGUCUUUUGAAGAUGCUAGUCAGAUA